rnacentral:rRNA from 1 species
CUUGUUGCUGAACCUGCAAGGCGAAGGAGGCGAGGAGAUCGAGCACCGCCGGCUUGCCUCCGGUGAGCUAUUGCUGGAUCUAGGACCACCGGGGAGGAGGGGGCUGUGGCAACUUCACCAUGCACUCGACCUCUACUAGCUUGCCCUCCAGAUAUAGGAAUGUGAGUUGACCGUCCGGGGCGCCCGCGGCCACCAGGGAAGAGGAGGCCAUGGCGGCGGCGGCCAGGUCCUGACGACGAUGCGCAGCACGAUGUUGGGCUGCCCUAGGGACGGAUCCAAGCGUAUUCGCAAAAAAAAAGGACGGAUCCAAUCCAAGCGACCUGGAUACCGGAGUAAGAAGGGAGGAGGCAGGGAACAGGUGGCGUGGGAGUAGCCGUCGUCGACCAGGGAAGCAACGGAUCUGCCGAUCUGGGCAGCCGCCACAGUCGACGAGAGAGGGGAACGGGAGCGAGCGACGGGGGUAGUCG